GUCCAUAGUAGAAGUAUUGGAGGUGAUAGGAGAGGGACGCACGGGAAGCUUAGGGGCAGCAAGGGCAGCCUCUUGAGCAGCGAGCUUGGCAGCGUCUUUCUUAUCGUAAAAAGGGUCAACCAUCUCUCUCCUGAUGGCCCUCAGCCUCUUCUCUCUCUUGGAUCUCAUGGAUUUCGCCAUUUUUCUUCUCUCCGAUGAACUUCCUCGCACUGUGACUCAGGUUGCUU
rnacentral:misc_RNA from 1 species